GACAAUUGUAAAUCCUAACUACGUGGAUUUGUUGUGCUACAGUUCACAACACAUUUUCCAGCUAGCUAACCCUGUACAAAAGAUUAACGGUAACACAAAUGGCAGCUGACAACGAGGAGAAUGGCACAGAAAUGCAAAUCGAGCCAGAGGAAUCUGCAUAUUCAUUAGCUCGACAUAAGCUGGAGCAUCUCCUAAACAAGAGCAUGAGGAUACGGAUGACAGAUGGCCGCACACUGGUUGGGCUCUUUCUGUGCACAGACCGUGACUGCAACGUGAUUCUGGGCUCAGCGCAGGAGUUCCUGAAGUCCACAGACUCUUUUUCACAAGCUGAACCCAGAGUUCUGGGUUUGGCUAUGAUUCCUGGUCAUCACGUGGUGUCUAUUCAAGUGGAAUCAGAGAAUUUGCAGUCCGGCACCCAUGGGCUUUGAGGUCACCCAUGGAAGAGUUAAAGGAAUCGUGCAAAGAACCAUUGGCAUGCAUUUAUAAUUGCUGCUCCUGCAGUGCAGAAGUGAAAAUGCCUAAGGGGCAGAAAAUGGAAAGCUCAAACGCACACAACAAGCAGCAUCCUCCUAUCAAGGCCAGUGUGGCUGAACACCAGCCGAUAUACAGCCCCUCUCCUAUCUCAAACCUGAAAACUCACACAAACAUUAUGGACACAAAAAGUUUUUGUUUUUUUUUUCCAAAUUAUUUAGGCUUCUGAUACUAGAUACAUUUGAAGAGUUUUGCCUACUGUUUAACAUUUGAGAAAGUUUGGAUUUUAUAAUCUCUGUUGUAA